rnacentral:rRNA from 1 species
CGCGUAGGCGGUUUGUACAGUCAGAAGUGAAAUUCCUGGGCUCAACCUGGGGACUGCUUUUGAUACGUGCAGACUUGAGUGAGGAAGAGGGUUGUGGAAUUUCCAGUGUAGAGGUGAAAUUCGUAGAUAUUGGAAAGAACACCGGUGGCGAAGGCGGCAACCUGGUCCUUUACUGACGCUGAGGCGCGAAAGCGUGGGGAGCAAACAGGAUUAGAUACCCUGGUAGUCCACGCUGUAAACGGUGUGUGCUGGAUGUUGGGGAACUUAGUUUCUCAGUGUCGUAGCUAACGCGAUAAGCACACCGCCUGGGGAGUACGGCCGCAAGGUUGAA